UACGAAGGGGGCUAGCGUUGUUCGGAAUUACUGGGCGUAAAGCGCACGUAGGCGGAUCGAUCAGUCAGGGUGAAAUCCCAGGGCUCAACCCUGGAACUGCCUUUGAUACUGUCGAUCUGGAGUAUGGAAGAGGUGAGUGGAAUUCCGAGUGUAGAGGUGAAAUUCGUAGAUAUCAGGAGGAACACCCGUGGCGAAAGCGGCUCUCUGGGACGGUACUGACGCUGAGACGCGAAAGCGUGGGGAGCAAACAGG
rnacentral:rRNA from 1 species